rnacentral:lncRNA from 1 species
AUUGAAAUGGAAGAUUGUGAGCGUCAGCUGUAAGACUGAGAAUAAUCACUUGGGAAGGUUCGAAGUAUAAUGAAGUCAGAUAAGAUGAGGAAUGAAGCGAUGUAUUAAGAUGAUUGAAUUGGAUGCUAUUCUAGAGAUGAAGUUCUGAGCUUUUAUAGAAGAGAUUUAACCGAAACCACGCUAAUGGUGAUUUGAGCUCAGAUAAUUACACUAAACUCAAAUAGAUUAGUCGUUACUUAUCGGGGAUCUACACUCUUAGUAUCAGAAUAAGGAUUAGGCUAAGCACUAAUUCCAACACUCCUUCUCACUUUGUACCGAAGAUACAGGUGCAUAAGUGGUUCAAUCUUGGUUUUGGAAGAAUCUUGGUACAGAUAUCAGCCAGAUUUUUAUCAGAUGGACAUGACUUAGG